UACGUAGGUGACAAGCGUUGUCCGGAUUUACUGGGCGUAAAGAGCGCGCAGGCGGUCGAUCAAGUCGAGUGUGAAAGCCCCCGGCUCAACUGGGGAGGGUCACGCGAUACUGAUCGACUCGAAGGCAGGAGAGGGUAGUGGAAUUCCCGGUGUAGUGGUGAAAUGCGUAGAUAUCGGGAGGAACACCAGUGGCGAAGGCGACUACCUGGCCUGUUCUUGACGCUGAGGCGCGAAAGCCAGGGGAGCAAACGGG
rnacentral:rRNA from 1 species